UACAUGGGGGUGCAAACGUUGCUCGGAAUUAUUGGGCGUAAAGCGCACGUAGGCGGUUCGUUAAGUCGGAUGUGAAAGCCCUCGGCUCAACUGAGGAAGUGCACCCGAAACUGGCGAGCUUGAGUACGAAAGAGGAUCGCGGAAUUCCCGGUGUAGAGGUGAAAUUCGUAGAUAUCGGGAGGAACACCGGUGGCGAAGGCGGCGAUCUGGGUCGAUACUGACGCUGAGGUGCGAAAGCGUGGGGAGCAAACAGGG
rnacentral:rRNA from 1 species